rnacentral:rRNA from 1 species
UACAGAGGUCUCAAGCGUUGUUCGGAUUCAUUGGGCGUAAAGGGUGCGUAGGUGGCGUCGUAAGUCAGGUGUGAAAUCUCGGGGCUCAACCCCGAAACUGCACUUGAUACUGCGAUGCUCGAGUACUGGAGAGGAGAUUGGAAUUUACGGUGUAGCAGUGAAAUGCGUAGAUAUCGUAAGGAAGACCAGUGGCGAAGGCGAAUCUCUGGACAGUUACUGACACUGAAGCACGAAGGCCAGGGGAGCAAACGGG